rnacentral:rRNA from 1 species
ACGUAGACGCUAUUCCCUAAGAUUAACCCAUGCAUGUUUUUGACAUUUGAAAAAUGGACUGCUCAGUAAUACUCACUUUAUUUUAUGUAAAUUUUUAAUUAACUACGUUAAAGUGUAGAUAAGAUGUUUACAGUAAGAGUGAGACCUAUCAGCUAGUUGUUAAGGUAAUGGCUUAACAAGGCUGUGACGGGUAACGGUAUUACUUUGUAAUAUUCCGGAGAAGGAGCCUGAGAGACGGCUACUAAGUCUAAGGAUUGCAGCAGGGGCGAAACUUGACCUAUGGAUUUUAUCUGAGGCAGUUAUGGGAAGUAAUAUUAUAUUGUUUCAUAUUUUAAAAGUAUAUGAGGUGAUUAAUUGGAGGGCAAAUCAAGUGCCAGCAGCCGCGGUAAUACUUGUUCCAAGAGUGUGUAUGAUGAUUGAUGCAGGCAAAAAGUCCGUAGUUUAUUUAUUUAAGAAGCAAUAUGAGGUGUACUGUAUAGUUGGGAGAAAGAUGAAAUGUGACGACCCUGACUGGACGAACAGAAGCGAAAGCUGUACACUUGUAUGUAUUUUUUGAACAAGGACGUAAGCUGGAGGAGCGAAGAUGAUUAAUUACCAUUGUAGUUCCAGCAGUAAACUAUGCCGACGAUGUGAUAUGAAAAUAUUAAUUUGUAUUACAUACUAGAAAUUUGAGUUUUUUGGCUCUGGGGGUAGUAUGAUCGCACGAUUGAAAAUUAAAGAAAUUGACGGAAGAAUACCACCCGGAGUGGAUUGUGCGGCUUAAUUUGACUCAACGCGAGGUAACUUACCAAUAUUUUAUUAUUUUGAGAGAACGGUUUUUUGUUUGAGAAUGAUAAUAGUGGUGCAUGGCCGUUUUCAAUGGAUGCUGUGAAGUUUUGAUUAAUUUCAACAAGACGUGAGACCCUUAUUUUUUAUUAAAGACAGACACAAUCAGUGUAGGAAGGAAAGGAUUAAAACAGGUCCGUUAUGCCCUCUGACAUUUUGGGCUGCACGCGCAAUACAAUAGAUAUAUAAUCUUUAUGGGAUAAUAUUUUGUAAGAGAUAUUUGAACUUGGAAUUGCUAGUAAAUUUUAUUAAAUAAGUAGAAUUGAAUGUGUCCCUGUUCUU